rnacentral:rRNA from 1 species
GCCUAUAUCUAUGCUACCCUGAACAAACCCGAUCCUGUCUGAUCUCGGAAGCUAAGCAGGGUCAGGCCUGGUUAGUACUUGGAUAGGAGACCACCUAGGAAGACCAGGUGCCAUAGGCG